AUUGAACGCUGGCGGCAUGCUUUACACAUGCCAGUCGAACGGUAACAGGCCUUCGGGUGCUGACGAGUGGCGAACGGGUGAGUAAUGCAUCGGAACGUGCCCAGAGGUGGGGGAUAACGCAGCGAAAGCUGUGCUAAUACCGCAUGUGAUCUGAGGAUGAAAGCGGGGGACCAAGCAGCAAUGUUUGGCCUCGCGCCUCUGGAGCGGCCGAUGUCAGAUUAGGUAGUUGGUGGGGUAAAGGCCUACCAAGCCGACGAUCUGUAGCUGGUCUGAGAGGACGACCAGCCACACUGGGACUGAGACACGGCCCAGACUCCUACGGGAGGCAGCAGUGGGGAAUUUUGGACAAUGGGCGCAAGCCUGAUCCAGCAAUGCCGCGUGCGGGAAGAAGGCCUUCGGGUCGUAAACCGCUUUUGUACGGAACGAAAAGGCUCUGGCUAAUACCUGGGGCUGAUGACGGUACCGUAAGAAUAAGCACCGGCUAACUACGUG
rnacentral:rRNA from 1 species